rnacentral:piRNA from 1 species
UAAAAAGUGCUUCGUAGUGAUGUGU